CAGGAAAGCCGGGUAAUCGCUUAGUACUUUAUUGUGCUGGGAGGAAAGUCCGGACACCAACAAGUACCGCGCUCCCCGAUUCGGUUCAGCUGGCGAAGGGGAGGCUUCCUGAAAGGAAUUUCAGGAUGACAGACAGUGCAACAGAAAACAGACAGCCUCCAGCGCGGAGCGCAAGAAAUUCCAAGUUACAAAUCCCAAUGACCAAAUCUGAAAUUGAGCUUUGGGAUUUAAGUUUUGGUGCUUAGAGUUUCUAACGCUCCGCGUUGGCGGUGAUGGUGAAAAGGUGAGGUAAGAGCUCACCGCCCCGUGUCGUGAGGCCGGGGGCAGUGCAAACCUCGCGGGGUGCAAGUUCAUGCAGAUGGUAUACGCCUCUUGUCGUGACGCCAUCGGGUGGAAUGCGCCAGAUAAAUGAUUACCUCCCGCUCAUAAAUUAUGUGAGGGAACAGAAUCCGGCUUACAGGCUUUCCUGUUGA
rnacentral:RNase_P_RNA from 2 species